UUAAUGUGGCAAAAGAGGGAAGUAAAGGAUUUGAACAAUCUUAUGAUAUCCCCAAUCCUGGGUUGAUAGUAAUAAACAACCAACACUUACGCAGGCUUCGUGAUGUAAAGAUUUGGAGCUGUCCAAAACUGUUGAACUUGACAUGGCUUAUUUAUGCUGCCCACCUUCAGUCGCUUAAUGUUCAGUUCUGUGAAUCCAUGAAAGAAGUGAUUAGUAAUGAGUACGUAACUUCAAGUACACAGCACGCCAGCAUAUUCACUAGGCUCACAUCUUUACUAUUAGACGGUAUGCCAAUGCUAGAGAGCAUCUAUCGGGGGGCACUACUCUUCCCUUCAUUGGAAAUAAUCUCUGUGAUCAAUUGCCCGAGGCUAAGAAGGCUCCCAAUUGAUUCAAAUAGUGCUGCCAAGAGCUUAAAGAAAAUUGAAGGAGAUCUAACCUGGUGGGGAAGGUUGGAAUGGGAAGAUGAAUCUGUGGAGGAGAUUUUCGCCAACUAUUUUUCCUCACAAAACUUGGCUGACCCAAUCCAGGACCCAGGGGAAGUGAAGGGAAAGAAGAAACUGGUGGUAGAAGGUUCAACCUCAAGGGCAGCCACACAGCUUCUCAAGCGCAGAAGUUAAAACUCAUGAGGGAACAGGAUGAGUAUUUGAAGUUUGAUGCAACAAAGCUAUUUGCAUAUGCCUUGGUACUAAGUGCCGUGUGGAAGAUAAGAUCCAAUGUUGUAUUAUUUGUUGUUUG